AUAUAGAUUAAGUUAUUAAGGGCGCACGGUGGAUGCCUUGGCACUAGAAGCCGAUGAAGGACGUUACUAACGACGAUAUGCUUUGGGGAGCUGUAAGUAAGCUUUGAUCCAGAGAUUUCCGAAUGGGGAAACCCAGCACGAGUUAUGUCGUGUUAUCUGUAUGUGAAUACAUAGCAUGCAAG
rnacentral:rRNA from 1 species